rnacentral:rRNA from 1 species
UGGGGAAUUUUGCACAAUGGGGGAAACCCUGAUGCAGCGACGCCGCGUGAUUUAGAAGGCCUUCGGGUUGUAAAAAUCUUUUCUGUGGGAAGAAAAUGACAGUACCAUAGGAAUAAGGACAGGCUAAUUACGUGCCAGCAGCCGCGGUAAUACGUAAGGUCCGAGCGUUGUCCGGAAUCAUUGGGCGUAAAGGGUACGUAGGCGGGUAAGCAAGUUAGAAGUGAAAUCCUAUAGCUCAACUAUAGUAAGCUUUUAAAACUGCUCAUCUUGAGGUAUGGAAGGGAAAGUGGAAUUCCUAGUGUAGCGGUGAAAUGCGCAGAUAUUAGGAGGAAUACCGGUGGCGAAGGCGACUUUCUGGCCACAACCUGACGCUGAGGUACGAAAGCGUGGGUAGCAAACAGG